GGAGGGUGCUAACGUUGCUCGGAAUUACUGGGCGUAAAGCGCAUGCAGGCGGGGUCUGCAAAGUUCCGUGUGAAAGCCCUGGGGCUCAACCCAGGAAGUGCACAGAAAACUGGCAGACUAGAGUACUGGAGAAGUGGGCGGAAUUCCCGGUGUAGAGGUGAAAUUCGUAGAUAUCGGGAGGAACACCAGUAGCGAAAGCGGCUCACUUGACAGAUACUGACGCUCAGAUGCGAAAGCGUGGGGAGCAAACAGGAUUAGAUACCCUGGUAGUCCACGCCGUAAACGAUGGGCACUAGGUGUCGGGGGCUUGACCCCUUCGGCGCCGCAGCUAACGCAUUAAGUGCCCCGCCUGGGGACUACGGUCGCAAGACUA
rnacentral:rRNA from 1 species